GUAAUCGCGGUGCGUCGCCUCCACCUUAACCGCACGCUCCAGUUGCCUCUUGGCAGCAGGACUGGGCACCCGUGAGGUGCCACUCCGUUGUGGAAAAGGAACAGCCGUUAAGACCCAUCGGAAAGUGAGGGAAGCAGGCGGACGAUAGACUAGUCCAUUCUGGGGCAGUGGCACAUCCAUGCACAAAGUCGACGAGCUACACUGGGGAUAGGGGAGCUUCCCUUCAGUCUUUUCUAAAAGGAAAUAUUUUCAGGAUUAUUUGGUGUGGUGCACGUCCCAGCAUCUAGGAGUUUCAGACAGGAUGAUAUUGUUGCCAGAGUUGGUCUCACAGAAUCUUCAGCACUCUAAGUCGAGCAUAAGCUACUGAGAAUUUGUUGAGCUCUACAUUUGUACGUCUGGGCAAAGACCUUAUGUGAAGUCGUUUAUUUGGAGGUAUCAGAUAAUCUACUGGGAAGGUGGAAAGCCAGGAGUACAACCUCAGCCAACAGUGACAUCUGAGGGAAGGAAGACAAGGAGAGAGCAAAAUGACUGAGGGCAAGCAGCUAGAAGGGAGAGAGAGAAAGAAAAACAGGAGGAAGGUUGCAGGAGUUACGAGAGGGAGUGGUCAAAUCCUUCGAAGCCACAGAUAUGCCUUCCUGUUAUUAGAUCCUGACGGUCCUAUAAAAAAGCCAUGGAUGUAAUCCCAGUGAGCAAUACAGUAAUUAUUCCAAGAACAGC
ensembl:lincRNA 4930532G15Rik RIKEN cDNA 4930532G15 gene